GUCUCCACACAGUUCCAGUCUAGUCUGGCUUCCCUCUGCUGGAGCCCAAGGACACAAAUCUGUAGCAACAGGACAAAUCGGUGAAAUUGCCUAUUUUAUGGCUUCUCAUACAGCAGAUGGCACGUCUGAGCAUCUGGUACACCCUGCCUUCCUGAAGUGAGGCAGCUGCAAGCAACUGGCAGGAAUCAGUGUCCCUGGCAACCGCCCAUUAAUCAAGCUCUGGAUAAAAAAGCCUCUUAGGAGUCAUCUGAAAAAUUCUGAUUGCAAAUGGAACGUGUGGAGCAAUCUUUACUGAAAGAACCUGAGGCAGUAAAUGGAUAUGAAUCAGAAGGAGG